GCAAAAAUUAAUGGACGCUUAUGCAGAGAGUCUUCAUAUUUACAUAAUUGGGCAUUGUUCAAAUUUGUCAAAUUGGUUAAUAAAUUUCAUAAAGAUGCUUCCACAAUUUAUAUAAAAGCUAUAUAAUGUUUAUUUAAAUACAUCAUGUUGUUAAAUGUAAAUGUAAAUUCCAAUUGAGGCAUUUUGUCAAACACCUUGAUGGUAUCUUAGAAAAUCAAAGGGAAAGAGUGCGCCAUUUAGUUUUGGAGCUAAUCUAAAAUUUAAUGACAGAAUUUUUUAAUGCAUUAAUACAUAAACUUUAUCAUUAAAAAAAAUGAUUAAACUUUUGAGAUGCAAAGAUUACCAAGCUUUUUUAUCAGUUUCUGGACGGAUCUGAGUCAAAGAAUUAUUGUUUCUUUUUUGCAAGCUUCUAACUUCUUGUCAUCAUUGUUGAAUGUGAGACAAAAUACUUUAUAGAUACCAUGAAUGUCAUUGUUUGCUUAAAUUUGAAGACCCUUAUUUAAGAUCAGUGAUGACUUUCCAUAAGAUCGGCGAGGGUAAUCUUCCUACAGCUGCCAGUAUCCAACCGACCGAACUGUUUAUAGAUCUGUAAGAUUUUUUCUUCAAAACCAUACCCAUCUCCUUGAGCUUGUAAAUAGCGUACUCUAACUUACUUCCAUAUACCCAACUGAAGGAAAACCAAAUCAAAAAAGAUAAAAUGCAAAACUUAAUGCAAUUCUUUUUAAGAAAUUACAAUAUAUUCACCAUCUCAACAAAUUCAUAACACGUUUGAGGUUUUCACUCCACAAGAACAUUUAAGUAGAAGUCGAAGCUGGAGUCGAAUCAUAGGUUUAUCGAGAGUUAUCUGAUUCAGCGAUUUUCCCUUUUGAUUUGGAUUUUUGUUGUGGGUGUUAAGG
rnacentral:lncRNA from 1 species